UACGUAGGGCGCGAGCGUUGUCCGGAAUUAUUGGGCGUAAAGAGCUCGUAGGCGGUUUGUUGCGUCGGCUGUGAAAACCUGAGGCUCAACCUCAGGCCUGCAGUCGAUACGAGCAGACUAGAGUGUUGCAGGGGAGACUGGAAUUCCUGGUGUAGCGGUGAAAUGCGCAGAUAUCAGGAGGAACACCGGUGGCGAAGGCGGGUCUCUGGGCAACAACUGACGGCUGAGGAGCGAAAGCGUGGGGAGCGAACAGG
rnacentral:rRNA from 1 species